ensembl:rRNA 5S_rRNA 5S ribosomal RNA
UUCUACAGCCAUGCUAUCCUGAACAAGCCCAAUCUCGUCUGAUCUCAGAAGCUAAGCAUGGUGGGGUCUGGUUAGUACUUGGAUGGAAGACCACCUAGGAAGAACAGGUGCUGUAGGCA